UGAGGCAGGAGAAUUGCUUGAACCCAGGAGGUGGAGGUUGCAGUGAGCCGAGAUCGCGCCACUGCACUCCAGCCUGGGUGACAAAGCGAGACUC
rnacentral:miRNA from 1 species